rnacentral:lncRNA from 1 species
AGCGGCCAGGAGAGAUCAACCUUGAUGCAAGCCCAGGCAAACUCAACUCUCCUCUUCUUCGCCAUACAUUCAUCCACUGAUGGAAACUUGCUAACCAGAUGUACGAGUCUUUGCAGCAUCGCCUCGCCCCAAAACUCCAUUGGGAGUUCCGACAGUCAGAUCUACACCAUGGUCGCAUUGAUUGCCCCCUUCGACGGGAAGAAAUCAGGGUGCCAGGGCUCCACUGCCACCAUCUGUCC